rnacentral:rRNA from 1 species
UACGUAGGGCGCGAGCGUUGUCCGGAAUCAUUGGGCGUAAAGAGCUCGUAGGCGGCCUGUCGCGUCUGCUGUGAAAUCCCGGGGCUUAACCCCGGGCGUGCAGUGGAUACGGGCUGGCUGGAGGCAGGCAGGGGAGAACGGAAUUCCCGGUGUAGCGGUGAAAUGCGCAGAUAUCGGGAGGAACACCGGUGGCGAAGGCGGGUCUCUGGGCAACAACUGACGCUGAGGAGCGAAAGCGUGGGGAGCGAACAGG